GGUAAUGAAGAUAAUUCUAGAUGUUAUCCUACAUAUGAGGCAGAUGAUACAAAAAUAAAUCAAAGUAAGUAUGGUACUUUCUCAAUAGACGUGAAUUUGUUCUUAAAAAAGUAAGUCUAUGUUCAACUUAUAGUUGUUGCCGUCAGUUUUAAUUAAUCUAAUAAGGAAGUAGGUCUACAUAAUAAGUGAUAAUGUGAUCUACCUAUCUUGUUUAUAGAUAUUGCAGUUUCUGAAUGUGAUCUUAGUGUGGACAGAGAUAAUUCAUUACAUGAUCCAACUUACAUACCAGAAGAUACUGAGACUGUUAAUGUCACAAAAACAAAUAAGCAAAAUAUGAUAUGUCAAAUCAACACAAAGUUACAAAAUUACAAAGUGACAGUUGACCUCAAUGGGCUUCAAUGGAUGUUAUUCGAUGAUAUCUGACAAAGUUAGAUGCAAACUCAUUCAAAUAUAUGAGAAAUGUUGAUAUUCGACUUCAAAUGAGGAAGAUAGACUUUGAAAAUUUUUAAUCAACACAAAGUGAGAAUCGACUUCAAUGGGCUUCAAUGAAUGUAAAUCGACGAUAUCUGACAAAGUUAGACGCAAACUCAUUCAAAUAUAUGAGAAAUGUUGAAAUUCGACUUCAAAUGAGGAAGAUAGACUUUGAAAAUUUUCAAUCAACACAAAGUGACAAACGACUUCAAUGGGCUUCAAUGAAUGUAAAUCGACGAUAUCUGACAAAGUUAGAUGCAAACUCAUUCAAAUAUAUGAGAAAUGUUGAAAUUCGACUUCAAAUGAGGAAGAUAGACUUUGAAAUUUUUCAAUCAACACAAAGUGAGAAUCGACUUCAAUGGGCUUCAAUGAAUGUAAAUCGACGAUAUCUGACAAAGUUAGAUGCAAACUCAUUCAAAUAUAUGAGAAAUGUUGAAAUUCGACUUCAAAUGAGGAAGAUAGACUUUGAAAAUUUUCAAUCAAGACAAAGUGGCAAUCGACUUCAAUGGGCUUCAAUGGAUGUUAAUCGACGAUAUCUGACAAAGUGGUUAAGAAAGCUUAACAAAGUUUCUUUUUAGGACACUAGAUAGGUACUUAUUAUAUAUUUUCAAUUUUUCUACGUCUUCGUUUUUCGAAUUAGUAAUUUCAUUAGUGAUUACAGGUAGGUACAUGAAAAUGUUUAUUAAGUAAAGAAAGAACGUAGAAUUCAUACAGUGUAGAAUUUAUUUCAAGUUUCAAAAUUUCUGUUUCAUUUUCUACCCAGUAAUAAAUAAAGCCUUUAUCAAGUCCUAAAUUUUGGAUAUUACAUUUAGAAUACGAAUUAUAAAAGGAAACAUCGAGAAGAGGUAUAUAAGUUUGCUUAAAUAAACAAAAAAGGGUGGUUGGUUUUUGAAGAUAAAAUUCUUGGAAGGAUAAAGAAAGGGUCUGAGAAGGUUCAACAAUUUAUCAAAAUAUCAAUCAUAAUUAUUACAUUUGGACAAUAAAAUAAACAUAAAAUUUUAAAAAUAGAAUAACAAUCCCUCGAAAGAUAUUGAAAUAUCAACCCUAAAGACUAUCUUCUACCUACCUAGGAAUAUUGUACCCCGAGAAGCUCACACCAGAAAUUAAAUAAUUGAAAAGUGAAUAUUAUAUUAUUUAUAAAAUAUCUGAAACAGUUCCUGUUUUUGUAAAAUUUUGGAUGGAAAUCUAUACAUAGUUACUAAAUUAGUUUCAAAUCCUCUAUAAUUGAUCAUUGAUCUAUGUAUAUAAACUGUUUCAUUUGCACCAUUCCUUUUUAGAUAUGAAUACCGCAAUUUCUACAUCUAAUCUCUGUGGUAAUGAAGAUAAUUCUAGAUGUUAUCCUACAUAUGAGGCAGAUGAUACAAAAAUAAAUCAAAGUAAGUAUGGUACUUUCUCAAUAGACGUGAAUUUGUUCUUAAAAAAGUAAGUCUAUGUUCAACUUAUAGUUGUUGCCGUCAGUUUUAAUUAAUCUAAUAAGGAAGUAGGUCUACAUAAUAAGUGAUAAUGUGAUCUACCUAUCUUGUUUAUAGAUAUUGCAGUUUCUGAAUGUGAUCUUAGUGUGGACAGAGAUAAUUCAUUACAUGAUCCAACUUACAUACCAGAAGAUACUGAGACUGUUAAUGUCACAAAAACAAAUAAGCGUAAGUCAUUUUCACAUUAGUUUCUAGCUUGUGAAAGAAAUCAUGAAUUUAUACCUCAGUUAUCAGGUGGCCACUAAUUUUUCAUUUUUUUUUAAAUAAUUAUAUAUACAAUGAGUUUCAAAAAGUUCACACCAAUUUUUCAGAAAAUAUGAUAUGUCAAAUCAACACAAAGUUACAAAAUUACAAAGUGACAGUUGACCUCAAUGGGCUUCAAUGGAUGUUAUUCGAUGAUAUCUGACAAAGUUAGAUGCAAACUCAUUCAAAUAUAUGAGAAAUGUUGAUAUUCGACUUCAAAUGAGGAAGAUAGACUUUGAAAAUUUUUAAUCAACACAAAGUGAGAAUCGACUUCAAUGGGCUUCAAUGAAUGUAAAUCGACGAUAUCUGACAAAGUUAGACGCAAACUCAUUCAAAUAUAUGAGAAAUGUUGAAAUUCGACUUCAAAUGAGGAAGAUAGACUUUGAAAAUUUUCAAUCAACACAAAGUGACAAACGACUUCAAUGGGCUUCAAUGAAUGUAAAUCGACGAUAUCUGACAAAGUUAGAUGCAAACUCAUUCAAAUAUAUGAGAAAUGUUGAAAUUCGACUUCAAAUGAGGAAGAUAGACUUUGAAAUUUUUCAAUCAACACAAAGUGAGAAUCGACUUCAAUGGGCUUCAAUGAAUGUAAAUCGACGAUAUCUGACAAAGUUAGAUGCAAACUCAUUCAAAUAUAUGAGAAAUGUUGAAAUUCGACUUCAAAUGAGGAAGAUAGACUUUGAAAAUUUUCAAUCAAGACAAAGUGGCAAUCGACUUCAAUGGGCUUCAAUGGAUGUUAAUCGACGAUAUCUGACAAAGUGGUUAAGAAAGCUUAACAAAGUUUCUUUUUAGGACACUAGAUAGGUACUUAUUAUAUAUUUUCAAUUUUUCUACGUCUUCGUUUUUCGAAUUAGUAAUUUCAUUAGUGAUUACAGGUAGGUACAUGAAAAUGUUUAUUAAGUAAAGAAAGAACGUAGAAUUCAUACAGUGUAGAAUUUAUUUCAAGUUUCAAAAUUUCUGUUUCAUUUUCUACCCAGUAAUAAAUAAAGCCUUUAUCAAGUCCUAAAUUUUGGAUAUUACAUUUAGAAUACGAAUUAUAAAAGGAAACAUCGAGAAGAGGUAUAUAAGUUUGCUUAAAUAAACAAAAAAGGGUGGUUGGUUUUUGAAGAUAAAAUUCUUGGAAGGAUAAAGAAAGGGUCUGAGAAGGUUCAACAAUUUAUCAAAAUAUCAAUCAUAAUUAUUACAUUUGGACAAUAAAAUAAACAUAAAAUUUUAAAAAUAGAAUAACAAUCCCUCGAAAGAUAUUGAAAUAUCAACCCUAAAGACUAUCUUCUACCUACCUAGGAAUAUUGUACCCCGAGAAGCUCACACCAGAAAUUAAAUAAUUGAAAAGUGAAUAUUAUAUUAUUUAUAAAAUAUCUGAAACAGUUCCUGUUUUUGUAAAAUUUUGGAUGGAAAUCUAUACAUAGUUACUAAAUUAGUUUCAAAUCCUCUAUAAUUGAUCAUUGAUCUAUGUAUAUAAACUGUUUCAUUUGCAUCAUUCCUUUUUAGAUAUGAAUACUGCAAUUUCUACAUCUAAUCUCUGUGGUAAUGAAGAUUUUUUUUUAAAUAAUUAUAUAUACAAUGAGUUUCAAAAAGUUCACACCAAUUUUUCAGAAAAUAUGAGAUGUCAAAUCAACACAAAGUUACAAAAUUACAAAGUGACAGUUGACCUCAAUGGGCUUCAAUGGAUGUUAUUCGAUGAUAUCUGACAAAGUUAGAUGCAAACUCAUUCAAAUAUAUGAGAAAUGUUGAUAUUCGACUUCAAAUGAGGAAGAUAGACUUUGAAAAUUUUUAAUCAACACAAAGUGAGAAUCGACUUCAAUGGGCUUCAAUGAAUGUAAAUCGACGAUAUCUGACAAAGUUAGAUGCAAACUCAUUCAAAUAUAUGAGAAAUGUUGAAAUUCGACUUCAAAUGAGGAAGAUAGACUUUGAAAAUUUUCAAUCAAGACAAAGUGGCAAUCGACUUCAAUGGGCUUCAAUGGAUGUUAAUCGACGAUAUCUGACAAAGUGGUUAAGAAAGCUUAACAAAGUUUCUUUUUAGGACACUAGAUAGGUACUUAUUAUAUAUUUUCAAUUUUUCUACGUCUUCGUUUUUCGAAUUAGUAAUUUCAUUAGUGAUUACAGGUAGGUACAUGAAAAUGUUUAUUAAGUAAAGAAAGAACGUAGAAUUCAUACAGUGUAGAAUUUAUUUCAAGUUUCAAAAUUUCUGUUUCAUUUUCUACCCAGUAAUAAAUAAAGCCUUUAUCAAGUCCUAAAUUUUGGAUAUUACAUUUAGAAUACGAAUUAUAAAAGGAAACAUCGAGAAGAGGUAUAUAAGUUUGCUUAAAUAAACAAAAAAGGGUGGUUGGUUUUUGAAGAUAAAAUUCUUGGAAGGAUAAAGAAAGGGUCUGAGAAGGUUCAACAAUUUAUCAAAAUAUCAAUCAUAAUUAUUACAUUUGGACAAUAAAAUAAACAUAAAAUUUUAAAAAUAGAAUAACAAUCCCUCGAAAGAUAUUGAAAUAUCAACCCUAAAGACUAUCUUCUACCUACCUAGGAAUAUUGUACCCCGAGAAGCUCACACCAGAAAUUAAAUAAUUGAAAAGUGAAUAUUAUAUUAUUUAUAAAAUAUCUGAAACAGUUCCUGUUUUUGUAAAAUUUUGGAUGGAAAUCUAUACAUAGUUACUAAAUUAGUUUCAAAUCCUCUAUAAUUGAUCAUUGAUCUAUGUAUAUAAACUGUUUCAUUUGCACCAUUCCUUUUUAGAUAUGAAUACUGCAAUUUCUACAUCUAAUCUCUGUGGUAAUGAAGAUUUUUUUUUAAAUAAUUAUAUAUACAAUGAGUUUCAAAAAGUUCACACCAAUUUUUCAGAAAAUAUGAGAUGUCAAAUCAACACAAAGUUACAAAAUUACAAAGUGACAGUUGACCUCAAUGGGCUUCAAUGGAUGUUAUUCGAUGAUAUCUGACAAAGUUAGAUGCAAACUCAUUCAAAUAUAUGAGAAAUGUUGAUAUUCGACUUCAAAUGAGGAAGAUAGACUUUGAAAAUUUUUAAUCAACACAAAGUGAGAAUCGACUUCAAUGGGCUUCAAUGAAUGUAAAUCGACGAUAUCUGACAAAGUUAGACGCAAACUCAUUCAAAUAUAUGAGAAAAGGUUGAAAUUCGACUUCAAAUGAGGAAGAUAGACUUUGAAAAUUUUCAAUCAACACAAAGUGACAAACGACUUCAAUGGGCUUCAAUGAAUGUAAAUCGACGAUAUCUGACAAAGUUAGAUGCAAACUCAUUCAAAUAUAUGAGAAAUGUUGAAAUUCGACUUCAAAUGAGGAAGAUAGACUUUGAAAUUUUUCAAUCAACACAAAGUGAGAUUCGACUUCAAUGGGCUUCAAUGAAUGUAAAUCGACGAUAUCUGACAAAGUUAGAUGCAAACUCAUUCAAAUAUAUGAGAAAUGUUGAAAUUCGACUUCAAAUGAGGAAGAUAGACUUUGAAAAUUUUCAAUCAAGACAAAGUGACAAUCGACUUCAAUGGGCUUCAAUGGAUGUUAAUCGACUAUAUCUGACAAAGUGGUUAAGAAAGCUUAACAAAGUUUCUUUUUAGGACACUAGAUAGGUACUUAUUAUAUAUUUUCAAUUUUUCUACGUCUUCGUUUUUCGAAUUAGUAAUUUCAUUAGUGAUUACAGGUAGGUACAUGAAAAUGUUUAUUAAGUAAAGAAAGAACGUAGAAUUCAUACAGUGUAGAAUUUAUUUCAAGUUUCAAAAUUUCUGUUUCAUUUUCUACCCAGUAAUAAAUAAAGCCUUUAUCAAGUCCUAAAUUUUGGAUAUUACAUUUAGAAUACGAAUUAUAAAAGGAAAUAUCGAGAAGAGGUAUAUAAGUUUGCUUAAAUAAACAAAAAAGGGUGGUUGGUUUUUGAAGAUAAAAUUCUUGGAAGGAUAAAGAAAGGGUCUGAGAAGGUUCAACAAUUUAUCAAAAUAUCAAUCAUAAUUAUUACAUUUGGACAAUUAAAUAAACAUAAAAUUUUAAAAAUAGAAUAACAAUCCCUCGAAAGAUAUUGAAAUAUCAACCCUAAAGACUAUCUUCUACCUACCUAGGAAUUAUUGUACCCCGAGAAGCUCACACCAGAAAUUAAAUAAUUGAAAAGUGAAUAUUGAAAGUUUUGACUAAACAGUUUUCAAAAUGCAAAUCAGUCACCAGAAAAACAUUCUUGACAACUUCAUUAGCUCAAAUUUUUUUCUAUUCGAAAAAACAAAGAUAUUGAAGCAGCUAAGCACUAAAUUCAAACAAUAAAUAAUUUUCUCUUUCCUAUACCCACCAAUUAUUGAACAAGAGGAACAAAUACCAAAAAAAAUAUUAGAAACCUUCACUUGGAAAGUUUUCUAUGAAACAGAAAACUCAAUUAUUAGUUUAGUAACAACCCUUAAAAAAAAAAUAUGUGAAAAACGAUUAGAUUAAGUUUGUUUUAUUAAAAGAUCCCCAGUUUAAUGCACUUGAAAAUUCAAAGUUCCAAAAGAAUGGCGGCAUAUAACCGAUAUAUAAAAGAAAAUAGUUUUCACUCCAUAAUCUGAGACCAAAUGACAAGAAAUAUUUUAGGUAGUAAAUUUAAAAUCAAAUGAAUAAGACAAAAAAUCACUCACCAGUUCACAAAUGAGGAAAUCACCAUCUUGGUAGUUAAGAAUUUUCCGUUUAUCCAUAAUUUUCACAAUAUUGCAUUAAAACACGGAAAAUUCUUUAUCGGAUUAUUGUUAACACGCACGUCCACAAACAUCAAAGAAAAACAAAUAAUUUUUAAUGUUUAUUUUCAAUCCGUUUCACGAAAAUUUUCAAAUAAAAGCUAUUUUCUAUCGAUAUACUGAGAAUUUCCAAUGUUUCCAAUAAAAAUUUUCAACAUUAGUCACAUUUUUAAAACUAGAAAUCGAAAGUUUUUUUUGUCGUUAUCGAACAAAUCCGGUAUCUCUGUAUUUUAUUUAUCUAAUAAUAACUAUUUUGUACUACAAUCGAAAUAAGGUAUUUUAAUAUUAAUAUCUAUAUAUAUUUUUAUAUGAAAAAACACAUUACAGUUGAAAAGAUUUGACGUGAACAAUAAUUGCGUCGACAUACAAAGUUGGCCGACAUGCUGUCUAGACAGACAAGGGUCAACGAACUAUUUGAUGCUAUAUUUUAGAUUAUCGUUUGUUUAAUGUUUAUAAGUAAAUUAAUGAUUCAAACAAUUUCAAAUUAUCUGAUGAAUAUGCUUAAUUUUAAUUACUUUGAAAAUAUUAAUAAAAUAAUAAUAUAACAUUAGCAUUCCAUAAAAUGUAAUACACUGAAAUCGUUCAUUUUCCUGGAAACUUUAAUUGGACAAAUCUCGUUAAUUUUUACAUAAAGAGAAUAAUAUCUUACCUAUAUCAAUAAGAAAAUAGUUUUCACUUCACCAUCGAAAACAAAAUUGCACGAAAUUUUACGAAUAGAAAAUUUAGCAUCAAAUAUGUCUGUCCGAAUUUGUAAUACUGUCAAAGUUUCAUUAUCUAAAUAAUUAAAUGCAUUGUUUAAAGCUUGUGACGUCACAUUUAAAGUGCGCAAGUCAAAAACAAGUCUAGACAUUCCCAAGGAAUUCGAAAGGGGUCAAUGAACUGAGAAGAUGUAAAAGUUUUGAUUUAUUAAAUAAUAAGUAAUUAAAUAUUACAUAUUUUGUUAUAUAAUUUCCAUAUUGAAUAAAAUAGUGUUUUCAAAGAGCAAUAUAAAUUUUUAAUAAUAUUUCUAAGAAAGUUUCGAAUAAUUAGUGAUAAUAGAUAUACUUCAUACAAUAAAACAUGGCAUAGAUUUAAUUAUUACAAUUCACAAUAACUUAAUAUUAUUAAAUGGCUAUAUAAGUAGAGGUUAUGGGCAGCAAAUAAUAGUAAUUUCCUUUUGGUAAUAUAUACUUUUAUUGUUUUACGACAUACCUUCGUUUUUCGAAUUAGUACUUUCAUUGGUGAUUACAGGUACAUGAAAAUUUUUAUAUUAAUUAAGGAUCGUAGAAUUUGAAACGAUGUUUCCAAAAAAUUAGUUGCAUAUGUAUAAAGACAAAAUCAAAACUUUUUUGUUAUCUUGAUAUCGAGAAUUCUGUGAUUUUAAAACUUCCCAUAAUGUAGUGUGGUCCUCAUCCCCAAAUUACAUAAACCAUAUAAGAAAAUAUUCUAUUGAACAUUAUUUUUCUCAUGAAUAUCAAAAAUAAAUUCGAAAUGUGAAGUAAAUAAGAAAUUCUUCCAACAAAGAUGAGGGCGUCUAAAAAGGGGCUUCACGGUCAAUUUUUGUUAUCGGUAUUAAAUCCUCAACAUAUAUAAAUAUUUUGGUAUUACUAUCUAUUAUUUAUGUAGAAUAAUGCGAUUUUAAAAUUUCUCAUAGUGAAGGGUGGUCCUUAACUCUAACAAUUCUGUUGAAUGUAAUCUCAUAAAUAUCAAAAAAAAUAUAUUAGAAACAAACAAUUCUUGGAACAAAGACAAAGGCAUCCAAGAAGGGGCUGCACGAUCAUUUUUCGUUAUCGGUAUUAAACCCUCGAUAUAAUGUAAACAAACUAUUCUACAAACAGAUAAAAAGAGUUCCAAAACUGCACCGCACGUGUUAUUUUUCAAAUAUAAAUAUCAACCCAAGGAUACUUUCAACAAAAAAAGGGACUAAUAAUGGUCAAUAACAGAAUAUAAUAUAAAUGAAAGAUUUCUAAAAUAAACACACCAGAAUCCAUUGUAAACCAUUAAAAAUAUUGAAUUCUAUUGAAACAAUCUAUUUUCACUAUAAGAAUUUCUUAUAGAAUAACCAUUGUUUUUCUGAACAUAUGAUGAUGAUAUGAAGUAUAGCUGAUUUAAUAACACUGAUGAUAAAAUUAAAGUCAGGAGAAUUUCAGUCAAACUAAACGAAUAGAAAGAAGGUAAGGGUAGAAAGUUGGAUAUCAAACAACAUUUAAACGAUGGAGGAAACACUAAUCUGAAGAAAGAAAUGCUUAUCAACUAGUAAAAAUAAUUUGAAUUAACACGAUAAUGAAGUGAGUAGUUCGGCAUCUAUUUUGAAAACAAAAGAGGAACAAAAAACGCAAAGAAAAAAAUGGUAAGAGAGGUAAUCAACAAGGAGAGAAUGAAAAAUAAAAAAAAAAGUAUCAAAUGAUGGAUGUUGAUGGUGAAAAAGAACAAUUAAAUCAGGAUAAGGAUACUACAGAACCAAGUCCAAAAAAAAUAAGGUAAAGAAAACAAAA